rnacentral:rRNA from 1 species
UGUUUGAUGUUCUAACGUUGACCCGUAAUCCGGGUUGCGGACAGUGUCUGGUGGGUAGUUUGACUGGGGCGGUCUCCUCCUAAAGAGUAACGGAGGAGCACGAAGGUUGGCUAAUCCUGGUCGGACAUCAGGAGGUUAGUGCAAUGGCAUAAGCCAGCUUGACUGCGAGCGUGACGGCGCGAGCAGGUGCGAAAGCAGGUCAUAGUGAUCCGGUGGUUCUGAAUGGAAGGGCCAUCGCUCAACGGAUAAAAGGUACUCCGGGGAUAACAGGCUGAUACCGCCCAAGAGUUCAUAUCGACGGCGGUGUUUGGCACCUCGAUGUCGGCUCAUCACAUCCUGGGGCUGAAGUAGGUCCCAAGGGUAUGGCUGUUCGCCAUUUAAAGUGGUACGCGAGCUGGGUUUAGAACGUCGUGAGACAGUUCGGUCCCUA